rnacentral:lncRNA from 1 species
UCCAAUUGCUUACUUUAGUGAAAAAUUGAGUGGAGCAGCCCUAAACUAUCCUACCUAACUGUUUUAAUGCAAGAAGGGCGUCCAAUUGCUUACUUUAGUGAGAAAUUGAGUGGAGCAGCCCUAAACUAUCCUACCUAUGACAAGGAGAUGUAUGCAUUGGUGAGAGCUUUGGAAACUUGGCAACAUUAUCUUCUACCUAAAGAGUUUGUUAUACACACUGAUCAUGAGUCCUUGAAGCAUUUGAAAGGGCAAGGUAAGUUACAUAAGAGACAUGCCAAAUGGGUUGAAUUUAUUGAGCCAUUUCCUUAUGUGAUCAAAUAUAAACAAGGUAAGGAGAAUGUGGUGGCUGAUGCAUUAUCUAGAAGGUAUGCACUUAUCUCUACAUU